GCACCGGCCAACUACGUGCCAGCAGCCGCGGUAAUACGUAGGGUGCGAGCGUUGUCCGGAAUUAUUGGGCGUAAAGGGCUCGUAGGCGGUUUGUUGCGUCGGGAGUGAAAACUCAGGGCUUAACCCUGAGCCUGCUUCCGAUACGGGCAGACUUGAGGUAUGCAGGGGAGAACGGAAUUCCUGGUGUAGCGGUGAAAUGCGCAGAUAUCAGGAGGAACACCGGUGGCGAAGGCGGUUCUCUGGGCAUUACCUGACGCUGAGGAGCGAAAGUGUGGGGAGCGAACAGGAUUAGAUACCCUGGUAGUCCACACCGUAAACGUUGGGCGCUAGGUGUGGGACUCAUUCCACGAGUUCCGUGCCGCAGCUAACGCAUUAAGCGCCCCGCCUGGGGAGUACGGCCGCA
rnacentral:rRNA from 1 species